ACUGAUCCUAUGACAGCUUUGGACUUACCCCUGGAGACUCUCCAGCCUGCCCUAGAGGAUCCGUUCCUGAACCCACUGGAUCAUAGUCCCUCUUCUCCAUGUUAAUAUCUCUGAUAUCGCCAAGGGUUGCUAUUGAAAAUAUUUUACAGAGACUGCGGCACAGCUACCAACCAAUCAGAAUAGACACUAACUACAAACAACCAGUAAGCUAUACCAAUCACUACAAGCUCAGGUUAACAUAAUUUGGGGUCAGAGAAGUGGAGUCCAGAGAGGACCCCUAACAACUCUGAGGCUGGUGAGCAAACAGGUGCCAGUACCCACACACAGAGCCCAUUGAGCAUACUGCUUUCUUGCCGACCCUGGAGUUUGAGGGGACUAUACCAGGUCCUCCUCACUACCCAGAUGGCAGCCAAACUUCAGGGAUUUGAACCUUGGGUACACAUCUCACCACUAAAGAAGACUCCACCUGACAUCUGGUCCUGAAAAAACGCUGGAGACUUCCAGGCCAAGUUGACUGGGAGGAGAGGCAGUGAACAGCUGAGGUGGACAGCUUUCCCAGGGUGACUGAACCAGGCCUGGGUGCCUUUUUCUAGCUGUUGCUUCUUCUCUCUCUCUUUUGUGGAGGGGCAGUGCCAUUGUCCACAUUCCCAGGCCCCUGCAAAGGGGGGAAACCUCUUCUUUUCAUUAUGCCCUUUUGGAAACAACCUCAUCAUAAUCCCAUGACAAAUUAAUCUUUUCAUUUGCUUUUUCUGAAGAGUUAGAAGGUUCAGAAUUCACAGAAAUUUUUCUUUCGUUUGGACUAUUACUGACUCUGGAUUCUUAUCCAAUUUCAUGGUGUCUGGAUUUACAACGCUACAGACUGUAUUAUUGGUUGACAUUUAGUUCCAAACCGUUCUUUUGAGAUAACAAUACUGUUUAAAUACAUUUUUAUAAGUUCUGCUGUUGCUUCAUCUUUAUUCCUGCACUGUCUUCAUGCUCUCAGUUUGAGUGUACUUUACUUUUAAUUCUGUUUUGUAUAAUUAUUUUUAAGUCAUCUGUCGAAGCUUUCAUGCUAAUUUACCUCUUCAAGAUGAUCUCCAGUGCUUACAAUCUUGAUAAAAUAUGGACUUGAGGUACGUAGUGCCUGCGAGUCCCUCCUACUUCUCCUUGUUACAUGAAUGUGACCUCAAUAGGUUUCCAAUCUGUGCACUUUCCCUCUGAUGUGGGACAUGACACCCAGGAAAGGUCCUUCCUGGCAUCGAGGAACACAAGGCCACUGAAUCUGGAAAAAUCUGACUCUUAAUCAGCAAUGCUUUUGAAGAAAGAUCUUGACAAAGGGGGAAAAUGUGAAAAUUAGCAAAGGGAAACCUUAUUUAAAAUGGAGUCAGGAGGCCAGAAGGGGGAGCUCUCACAUAGUCCCUCUUGAGGUCAAUUACAGGAAAUAUUGUCAAUUACAGACCUCAACAGAAAGAAGUUGUCAACAGGAAGAAUGUCAAUUACAACCCCCCCCCCAACAGGAGAAGAUGUACAUUACAUCUCCAACAGGAAAUUGACUCCCCCAGCAACUCAGCUAAUGAGAAACUGUCAUCACCCUGAACCCUCACUUUCCACCAAUGGACUUGUGUUCAAAACAACGCCUUCCAACUUCCUCCUAUUUCGCUAUAAAAUAAUGUUCCUCUCCUUUGCUUGCUGGACUUGCCUAUGGCUUUUGCUAUAGCCUUCUUGUCCUGAACUGCAAUUUGUUGCUGUUCCUGAAUAAAUCCAUUUUACUGGUACAAUA